rnacentral:tRNA from 1 species
GGGGUUGUAGUGUAGUGGCUAUCACGCGUCAUUUGCAAUGGCACCGUCAAGGUACCAGAGAACUUGACGAGGUCCCGGGUUCAAUCCCCGGCGACUCCA